CCACCUCCUUAAAAAAGCUGCACCUUGAUCUCAUUUUUUAAUUUAGCUUUUUCAGAUCUUCUAUAUAGAGAGGCCUAAAAGGACGGUAUACAAGCCUUAAAUAAGUAAGAAAUAAAGGGGAGUAUCUAAUUAAAGGGCAGAUUCCUCUGAGAACCCUACUUACCGCCAAGUCUUUUAGGUUUCAAGCUUAUACCAACUACUACCUUAAAAUAUUUACUCCUAAAAAUAAAAGGGUAUCUAAUCCUUGUCUCUGCUUUAGGUUUUAGAAAGAUUAGCUUAAGUCUCCUUUUAAGUAAAAAUUUUACCUUUUUUUAAGAGAAAUAUAUAAUUCUUUUUUUAAAGAAACUUCACCCCUCUA
rnacentral:rRNA from 1 species